rnacentral:misc_RNA from 1 species
CCUACCAUGGUUGUAACGGGUA